AUUGAACGCUGGCGGCAUGCCUUACACAUGCAAGUCGAACGGUAACGCGGGGCAACCUGGCGACGAGUGGCGAACGGGUGAGUAAUGCAUCGGAACGUGCCCAGUAGUGGGGGAUAGCCCGGCGAAAGCCGGAUUAAUACCGCAUACGACCUACGGGUGAAAGGGGGGGAUCGCAAGACCUCUCGCUAUUGGAGCGGCCGAUGUCAGAUUAGGUAGUUGGUGGGGUAAAGGCCCACCAAGCCUUCGAUCUGUAGCUGGUCUGAGAGGACGACCAGCCACACUGGGACUGAGAGACGGCCCAGACUCCUACGGGAGGCAGCAGUGGGGAAUUUUGGACAAUGGGCGAAAGCCUGAUCCAGCCAUGCCGCGUGCGGGAAGAAGGCCUUCGGGUUGUAAACCGCUUUUGUCAGGGAAGAAACGCUCUGAGUUAAUACCUCGGGGUAAUGACGGUACCUGAAGAAUAAGCACCGGCUAACUACGUGCCAGCAGCCGCGGUAAUAC
rnacentral:rRNA from 1 species